rnacentral:rRNA from 1 species
UACAGAGGGUGCGAGCGUUGUCCGGAAUCACUGGGCAUAAAGGGCGCGUAGGCGGCCUGAUAAGUAGGGGGUGAAAUCCUGUGGCUUAACUGCAGGGCUGCCUCCUAGACUGUUAGGCUCGAGCACGGUAGAGGCAGAUGGAAUUCCCGGUGUAGCGGUGGAAUGCGUAGAGAUCGGGAAGAACAUCGGUGGCGAAGGCGGUCUGCUGGGCCGUUGCUGACGCUGAGGCGCGACAGCGUGGGGAGCAAACAGG